rnacentral:rRNA from 1 species
GAAUAAAUGGGUUUGAUCCUGGCCCAGAAUGAACGCUAGCGAUAUGCCUUAUACAUGCAAGUCGAAUGCGCCCCUAAGGGGGAGGCAUGGCGAACGGGUGCGUAAAACGUGGGAAUCUACCCAACAGUUCGGUAUAACCAUACCACACUUCGGUUGUGGGAACUCAAUUUUUGAGGUGAGAAUCCCGAAUAAUAAUAAAAGAUUAAUUCGCUGUUGGAUGAGCCUGCGGAGGAUUAGGUAGUUGGUUAUAAGUAUUGGGGUAAUGGCCCACCAAGCCUACGAUCCUUAGCUGGUCUGAGAGGAUGGUCAGCCACACUGGGACUGAGAAAGGCCCAGACUCCUACGGGAGGCUGCAGUAGGGAAUAUUGGACAAUGGGCUAACGCCUGAUCCAGCAAUAUCGCGUGGGUGAUGACGGCCAUUUGGUUGUAAAGCCCUUUCACCGGGGAAGAUAAUGACAUGAACCGGAGAAGAAGCCCCGGCAAACUCCGUGCCAGCAGCCGCGGUAAGACGGGGGGGGCUAGUGUUAUUCGGAAUGACUGGGCGUACAGCGCGCGCAGGCGGUUUAUAGGGUUACCUAUGGAAAGACCGAGGCUCAACCUCGGAAUGCAUGGUAAUACCGGUAAACUAGAGUUUGUCAGAGGAUGGUGGAAUUUCUAAUGUAGAGAUUAAAUUCGUGGAGAUUAGAAGGAACACCGGCGGCGAAGGCGACCAUCUGGGGCAAAACUGACGCUAAAGUGCUAAAGCAUGGGGAGCGACCAGGAUUAGAGACCCUGUUAGUCCAUGCCGUAAACGAUGAGUGUUAUGUCUCCCCAAUAAAAUUGGGUGGGCAUCAGCUAACGCAAAAACACUCCGCCUGGGGAGUACGGCCGCAAGGUUGAAACUCAAAGGAAUUGACGGGGGCUCGCACAAGCGGUGGAGCAUGUGGUUUAAUUCGAUACUACGCGCAGAACCUUACCAGCCCUUGCAUAUAGGAGCCGAGAAAUUUAAUGGUUUCUCCCAUUUACCCCUUCGGGGAUAUACUGCUAUACAGGUGUUGCAUGGCUGUCCUCAGCUCGUGUCGUGAGAUGUUGGGUUUAGUCCUAAAACGAGCGCAACCCUUAUCUUCGGUUGCCACCUUUCUUUUAGGGAGAGCACUCGGAAGAAACUGCCGGCGAUAUGCCGGAGGAAGGUGGGGAUUAUGUCAAGUCCGCAUGACCCUUAUGGGCUGGGCUACACACGUGCUACAAUGGUGGCCACAGAGGGAGGCAAUGGUGAGAGCCGGAGCAAAUCCUGAAAAGCCAUCCCAGUUCGGAUUGUUCUCUGCAACUCGAGAACAUGAAGUUGGAAUCGCUAGUAAUCGCAGAUCAGCAUGCUGCGGUGAAUCUGUUCCCGAGCCUUGUACACACCGCCCGUCACACCCCGGAAAUUGAUCUUUUCUGAAGUUAUAAAGUUAGCCGAAUAUCUCUUUUAUCUUCUUUCCCAGAGGGGAAAUGAAAAAAGGGGCGUUUGGGGAUUUUAUCACCAUGGCAAGGUGAGUAACCGGGGUGAAGUCGUAACAAGGUAAUCGUAGAGGAAUCUGCGGUUGGAUUAACCUUAAU